rnacentral:lncRNA from 1 species
CAUACAGGAUAUGAUUGGCUUUGUUCCAAAUCACAAUAGAGUUCAAAAUUCAACAUAUUGAUGCUAGUGAAACAAUAAUUAUGAUGGGUUGAGUGUAUAACGACCUAAGACCUCAUCUAAAAAGAUUAGCCAGAAGAUAAUUAUUUGGGUUCUUUGGUAUAAGUUCUCAAGAUCUUUCUAAUAAAUAACCGAUGUGGAACUAAAUAUAUAUCUGCAUUGAUCCUUACAUAUUCUUUCAUUUAAGUCC